GAUGAACGCUGGCGGCGUGCCUAAUACAUGCAACUCGAGCGAACAGACGAGGAGCUUGCUCCUCUGACGUUAGCGGCGGACGGGUGAGUAACACGUGGAUAACCUACCUAUAAGACUGGGAUAACUUCGGGAAACCGGAGCUAAUACCGGAUAAUAUAUUGAACCGCAUGGUUCAAUAGUGAAAGACGGUUUUGCUGUCACUUAUAGAUGGAUCCGCGCCGCAUUAGCUAGUUGGUAAGGUAACGGCUUACCAAGGCAACGAUGCGUAGCCGACCUGAGAGGGUGAUCGGCCACACUGGAACUUAGGCACGGUCCAGACUCCUACGGGAAGCAGGAGGAGGGAAUCUUUCGCAAUGGGCGAAAGCCUGACGGAGCAACGCCGCGUGAGUGAUGAAGGUCUUCGGAUCGGAAAACUCUGUUAUUAGGGAAGAACAAAUGUGUAAGUAACUAUGCACGUCUUGACGGUACCUAAUCAGAAAGCCACGGCUAACUACGUG
rnacentral:rRNA from 1 species